AAGACUUUAAGUUAAAAAAAACUGUAUACCUUCAAAGUAUAAAAUAUUUAAAUAUAAGUCUUA
rnacentral:tRNA from 1 species